UACAGAGGUCUCAAGCGUUGUUCGGAUUCAUUGGGCGUAAAGGGUGCGUAGGUGGCGGGGGUAAGUCAGGUGUGAAAAUCUCGAGGCUCAACCUCGAAACUGCACUUGAUACUGCCUUGCUCGAGUACUGGAGAGGAGAUUGGAAUUUACGGUGUAGCAGUGAAAUGCGUAGAUAUCGUAAGGAAGACCAGUGGCGAAGGCGAAUCUCUGGACAGUUACUGACACUGAGGCACGAAGGCCAGGGGAGCAAACAGG
rnacentral:rRNA from 1 species